AGUCGAGCGAACGGACGAGAAGCUUGCUUCUCUGAUGUUAGCGGCGGACGGGUGAGUAACACGUGGAUAACCUACCUAUAAGACCGGGAUAACUUCGGGAAACCGGAGCUAAUACCGGAUAAUAUUUUGAACCGCAUGGUUCAAAAGUGAAAGACGGUCUUGCUGUCACUUAUAGAUGGAUCCGCGCUGCAUUAGCUAGUUGGUAAGGUAACGGCUUACCAAGGCAACGAUGCAUAGCCGACCUGAGAGGGUGAUCGGCCACACUGGAACUGAGACACGGUCCAGACUCCUACGGGAGGCAGCAGUAGGGAAUCUUCCGCAAUGGGCGAAAGCCUGACGGAGCAACGCCGCGUGAGUGAUGAAGGUCUUCGGAUCGUAAAACUCUGUUAUUAGGGAAGAACAUAUGUGUAAGUAACUGUGCACAUCUUGACGGUACCUAAUCAGAAAGCCACGGCUAACUACGUGCCAGCAGCCGCGGUAAUACGUAGGUGGCAAGCGUUAUCCGGAAUUAUUGGGCGUAAAGCGCGCAUAGGCGGUUUUUUAGGUCUGAUGUGAAAGCCCACGGCUCAACCGUGGAGGGUCAUUGGAAACUGGAAAACUUGAGUGCAGAAGAGGAAAGUGGAAUUCCAUGUGUAGCGGUGAAAUGCGCAGAGAUAUGGAGGAACACCAGUGGCGAAGGCGACUUUCUGGUCUGUAA
rnacentral:rRNA from 1 species